rnacentral:rRNA from 1 species
GACGAACGCUGGCGGCGUGCCUAAUACAUGCAAGUCGAGCGCAGGAAAUAAACAGAACCCUUCGGGGUGAUGUUUAUGGAAUGAGCGGCGGACGGGUGAGUAACACGUGGGCAACCUGCCUGUAAGAUCGGGAUAACUCGCGGAAACGUGAGCUAAUACCGGAUAACACUUUUCAUCUCAUGGUGAGAAGAUAAAAGACGGUUUCGGCUGUCACUUACAGAUGGGCCCGCGGCGCAUUAGCUAGUUGGUGAGGUAACGGCUCACCAAGGCGACGAUGCGUAGCCGACCUGAGAGGGUGAUCGGCCACACUGGGACUGAGACACGGCCCAGACUCCUACGGGAGGCAGCAGUAGGGAAUCUUCCGCAAUGGACGAAAGUCUGACGGAGCAACGCCGCGUGAGUGAUGAAGGUUUUCGGAUCGUAAAACUCUGUUGUUAGGGAAGAACAAGUUGGGUAGUAACUGACCCAACCUUGACGGUACCUAACCAGAAAGCCACGGCUAAC